GCCUACGGGGGGCAGCAGUGGGGAAUAUUGCACAAUGGGGGAAACCCUGAUGCAGCAACGCCGCGUGAGUGAAGAAGGUUUUCGGAUUGUAAAGCUCUGUUAGCAGGGAAGAGGAAGGACGGUACCUGCAGAGGAAGCCACGGCUAACUACGUGCCAGCAGCCGCGGUAAUAUGUAGGGGGCAAGCGUUAUCCGGAAUUACUGGGUGUAAAGGGAGCGUAGACGGUUAAGUAAGUCUGGAGUGAAAGGCCGGGGCCCAACCCCGGGACUGCUCUGGACACUAUUUAACUUGAGUG
rnacentral:rRNA from 1 species